rnacentral:lncRNA from 10 species
CUGGUCUUGAACUCCUGACCUCAGGUAAUCCGCCCAUCUCGGCUUCCCAAAGUGCUGAGAUUACAGGCAUGGGCCACCACGCCCAGCUAGUUCCUCUUUUGAUAAGGCUGUUAACAUUACAAGGUCAGAGAGAGGAAUGGAAUCGACAGUAUAAAUUGGUUCCUGAGAGGGUUUCCUAACAGCUUUGUAAUAAGAAAAAUAUGGCCUUGAUGGUGUAGUGCAUGGACAUCUACCCAGAUAAACAAAUUGUUGACUGCUGAAUUAAUGUGAUUUUGGUCUCUAUUGAUAUUUCAUAGGGCCCUGUCUUAUUCAACUUUACUUUUAAAAUCAGUGAUUUGGAUGAAGGCAUCAGAAACAUCUGAUUUGAGGAUGGAGCAACCCAAUAUUGCUAAUAUAAUAGAUGACAGUGGCAACUGAAAACAGUCCCAGAAUGACCCCAUCGAGAUGAAAUUAAACAGAUUAGAAAUGUAACAUACUCAUUUAAAUUAAAUAAGUUGUAUAAGUUUGGGCUGAAGAAACCUGGCCUUAUAUCAUUUCAUAUAAAAAAGACGGGAUUUUAGUUGUCCUCAGGUUCAAUAUGAACCAAGUAGUAUUCAUGUUGUUAUUAUAUGAUAACAGAAAAAUUAGUGGUACUUCAGGUUUUAUCAGUAGAAGUGUCACAGCCAUAGUCAAAAUACCCCUAACAUACUGCAUUUCACUCUGGGUACCAAAUUUAAGCAAGAUAUUGAUGGCCACUAAGUGUGUAUCCAGAAGAAGAGAUCAGAAUGAUGAGUCCAGAACCCCUGUCACACAGGGAAUAGGUGAAGGAACUAGGGAUAUUUAACUGGAGCAGAGAACAUCUGGAGAGAGAGCAAGAUUCCUGUCCUUGAGAAGUUGAAGCCGUCUCAUGCAGAAGAGGGAAUGAGCUUCCAUUAUGCUGCAGAGCUGGCAGCAAUGGAUGAAAGUUGCAGGAAGUUAGUUUUAGUUCUGUAGAAGGCAAGAGUAGGGUAGACCAAAUCAAAUGCUCACUGGGGUCAGGCUGAUGGAGACAGUAACACUGGCGAGCAGGUGCCCCAGCUCGGACUAUACUGCUGAGUUCUGGUCUGUUGCUGCCACUCUACAGGUCCAGGGUUGUUAGAUCUUCUGGGUUUUUGUUUUGCUUUUUGAAAUAAGGAAAAUAAGCUUAUCUUAAGUUUAUUUUUCCUUGGAUAUACCUAGAUUCCAUACAGUGACAAUACAAAUACAAAGGAAGAACAUCUGGAUUUCAUCCUUGACCUCAUUUACAAAGCAAAAAGAGAUGCUGGAUUCAGAUAUAAAUGUUUAAUUUUGCAGUGUUUAAGUCAGCAAAUCUUCUGUUUUUUAAAAAUAAGCCACAUAUCUAGAUUUUUCUGUGAAAGCUCUCAAUUAAGUGUUGGGAACUAAUUUCAAGAUUUUAAAAAAUGUUAUGCAGGCUUAACGUGUCUGAGAGCCAUAAAUGACCUAACGUUUCCCGUUAGUCUCUGAACUAGGUGAUCUCAGUUCUCUUUCAACUCCAGUACUCUGUAAGUUUCUGUGACCUGUAGUGUACCAUUCUCAGGUGGUGAUAUGGUUUGGAUGUUUUGUCCCCUCCAAAUCUCAUGUUCAAAGUGUGACAUUCAGUGUUAGAGGUGGGCCUAGUAGGAGGUAUUUGGGUCAUGGGGGCGGAUCCCUUAUGUAUGACUUUGUGCCAUCCCCAUAGUAAUGAGUGAGUUCUCACUCUGGUUGUUUAUGCAAGAGCUGGUUGUUUAAAAGAGCCUGGAACUUCCUCCUCUCUCGCUUGCUCUCUCUCACCAUGUGACACACUGGCUCCCCUUCACCUUCUGCCAUGAUUGUAAGCUUCGUGAGGCCCUCACCAGAAGCAGAUGCCAGCGCCAUGCUUCCUAUACAGUUCUAUGCAGAACAGUGAGCCAAAUAAACCUCUUUUCUUUCUAAAAAUUGUCAGUAUUUCCUUAUAGCAAUGCAAGCCGACUAACACAGGUGAUUCUUAGCAAAACAGUUUGUCAAUUUUUCAUAAAUGCUGGACCCUGGCUGGGCUUAUGCUAUUGCCUAGAAGAGAUUCCCAACUUCUCUCUUAUUUGAAUCUUAGAAAAAUCCCAAAGCCCAAGCCUCAUCUAAGACCAAUUAAGUCACAAUCCCUGGAGGAAGUAAAAGGCAUAUUUUUAAAGUUCCCCAGGUGAUUCCAAUGUGCAGACAAGUCUAGGGACCACUGGCUUAGGUCCUAAUAGCCUAGUUACCUUAGAAAGUUCUGACUAGCUUAUUCCCAUUCCCUUCUAAUUUCCACCCCACCUUAUCAUUUGAUCUGCUAUGUUGCUCCUAUUAGUAUGUUAGUAGGAUAUGGUCUCUUCUGGAUAGAAUCCUUCAAAGAAAGGGAACUGUAGUUCCUGAGGCAGGUUCCCACACCAUCCUCUCCUGAUCCUCAAACCCAGGUUGUCCUUAGUUAGUAACUGAGUCAGCAGAGGGCAGUAUGACCCAACCCAAAGAACCAUAUAUUAAUGCUUCUACAGUUGCCUCCAAGGAAGUAGCAACUCAUGAGUAAGUUAAGGUUUCAGAUGUUUUACUUCAUUUUUCUUUUAUUACAGAUGAUGAGUACAUUUGGAAAAACAACUGGUUGCAUUUAGCUAUAUAACUGUAUUAUAUCUAUGAGCUUCUGGUGAAUGAUUAUCUUAGGGUUUUUUUUGUAUUUAUGUUAUUCCCAGCACUCCCAGACACAUAUCAAAUAUUGAAUUAGUGAAUGCAUGAAUGGAAAAUGGAUAAUUACAGAUUGAUGUUCCAAAUACCUUUUUCCAAAAAAACAAGUCAUCACAUACCUAUAGGAUUAAAUAGAUUUCCCUUAAUAUUUUCAAAGGUCUCUCUGCACUUACGUCCAUUGUUUUUAAAACAUGAAGGAAAUUAAAACACAUGGCUUUCUUAAUCAGUCAACCUAGAAUUUUUUGUCUGUAACUUAGACUGACAAAUACUAUCUAUUGUAGCAGGGGUAAUGACUAGCAACUCCCUAAAGCAAUGUUGGUUGCAGAGAUCAACACUGAUAAUCAUGAUUUUAGGAUAACCAGUUUAUCUACAGCUACCCUUGUGGUCCUGGGAUGAAUGGUGGGUUAUAUAUCAGCAUAUGUAACACAUAUACCCAUGUCCCUGCAUAAGGGAGAAUGCAUCACCUCUCUAACAUGCAUCACACAUUUUCCUCAACACUGACCUAAAAUGUUUGUCAGUGAGAAUUUUAAGAAUUCAAAAUUCAACAAAAUUAUUGUUUAAUGUGAAGCAGUAGAAAAAACAGAGUCUUAACAACUCCCCAAAGCAAUGUAAUACAGGCAGCCUUUGGUUUUUUAAAGUGUAGAUCAUAAUAAAAAGAUGUCUUUCACUACACUCCGCAGAGGCCAUUGAUCAAGGUAGAAAUAAAGGGGGAGUACAUGGCAUGUACUUCAGGACUUCAACUAAAGGGUAAUUGUGGAAUGAGAAUUUCAAAUACAACAUAGUAACUGAAACACUAGAAACCAAAGUAUGUGUCUGGGAUCCCUGCUUGCAGAAAAACAUUUAUGAAGCUAGUAAGGGGCGUCUUCACCAGCAGCAGGCCAAAUGCCGGCAAGUGCUCUGUAGGAGGGGCCACUUAGGAAAGUACCAGGGCUGCCUUGGAGUGGAGAAGGAGGAGUGGCCACCAGAGGGUAUACAAGUGGUUGCCCUUUAAAAGAAGAGGCUCAGGAGCAGACAUGUCUUUAUGCUAGCCUGAAGUCAUGCAUGUGUGGCUAUACAUAGCCUGUGAUUCAGAAGACUUUUCAACUUUGGUUUUCAUAAAAAUGGCAAGCAAUGAUGGAUUACAUUUUAAAAGUGAAAGCCCUUGUAGUAUGAGUAAUGAUUCAGUUUUACUAAUAAAAGGAUCUCCGUAUUGCUCAGAUUUUCAGAGAAACAAAAUGGUCAACUGGUGUGUUAUUCCUUCCUCGUCCCUCUGAUAACGGUACUGACAAACUGGAAAAUAAUGAAAUAUUAGAGCAAAAGAGAAAUGUGUAAUAACACAAGAGAAGUCUAUUAGGAUAUAAGGAAGAUAAGUAGACAGAGCAGGCUUAAAAUGAAGCUUGAACAAGCCAUCUGCAGAAACAGAAAACAGGGUAGAUGGGACACCCAAACAGGGUGCCACAGCUUUCCAACUUAGAUCCAGGUUAUGAGAGAAUGAGCCAAGAACACAACCUAAAAGUUUUCAAUUUGAGGUAUAUUCACUGUUGCUAUUCUAUAGUAUUAAUCAAAAUAUUAUUGACUAAUAAUCCUGUUAUUAUUAAUCACAACUUUUGGUUUUGAGUCUUAGUUUUUUAACAGCAAUAUUUUUUGUAACACCAGGAAAAUCCUCACAAGUUAUUGCCCCAGGGGCUGGAAUCUGGAGCUAGCGUCCCUAAGAGACUAAUAUGGGAGAAUUUGAAACAUCUGCUAUUUCUACCAUAAUUCUUAUUCCCAAUCAACAUUACACCACAUACCACAGCAAAAAGGACAAUUAGAUACUAGUUUUGAAUUAAUUUGAAAAGUUUAAAGACAACAAAAAGAAACAGCCCUCUGUUUCUGUAACAGAGUCUGGAAACUGCCCAAGAAUUACAACGAAGUUCUUUAAUGAGGUAGAUGUAAUAGGCAUUUAUACCUUCAUCUAGGCUGUAGUCAUCUAAUGAAUUGCUUGGAUGUUGUAGUAAAGGAAAUUGUAUAAAAUUGUUUUAAAAAGAUGUAUAAAAUUUAAAAGUACGAAAAGAAAUACAGGAACAAGAAUAGAUGUAGUGAAAACUUGGCACUAUUUCUGACAAAGUAUUUUUUUCAAAGUUUAUUCCUAAAUGUGAGCAAAGCAGUCAUAAAUGAAUGUCAGAAGCAGUUGUAAAGAUGGGGCAUGGUUAGUUGUGGCCAGCUGUUUUAUAAAAAAUAGAUUCUGUUUAUACUUGCAGAAAGAUUCUGUUAAUGAGCAUUUCAUUGUAGCUGACAAAGUAGUUGGGCUAGGAGGCCAGUCACUAUGACUUUGCACAUAUUACAACUGCUCUAGGCCUCAGUUUUAUCACCCAUAUAAAUCAAGGGGGUUGACCAGAAGCUUUAAAACUCUUCUGAAAUUUAUUAUGAUUACUAUUAGAAACUCUGUUCCCACCAACCUUAUCAUCAGGGGUUAUGGAUAAAAUAGGAGGCUCUUUUGGGCAGCCUGGUCUUCUAAACCAAAGGACAAAAUGCUCUUCCCAAAAUCAUAUGAUUUUUCUACCUUGUCUUCUGCCUUUAGUUUCUAAUCUUGUCUAGCCUCUUUGUUUGAUAGAUGAGAACCGAACCAGAGAUGGUAAGUGACUGGCCUGGGGUACCAGAGCUAGUAAAUGACAAAGCCAGAACUAGAAUCCAGGUCUGCUAUUCGUUAAGCCUACUGUUCUUUCCCUUAAGUGAUACCACUCACUUGUCUUUCAUCCCUGACAAAAAACAAAACAUAAAACUGUGAGAAGCAUCUGUUUAGAUGAUAUCAGUGAGAAGUAUAAAUUAUUUCAAAAAUAUAAAUAUGGAUGUGAUAAUAAAUGUUAAUGCCUAAAAACACUAGCUUAGCAAGUGCAUGGCAGACAUUUUUCAGCAAUCACUGGAUAUGAUCUUGAAGUUAAAGGAAUCUCUUAGGAUGAGGAGGGGGUGGGGCAGGAUACUUUGGAAGACAUUUGGAGAAUAAAUAGAAGAUUGGUGGAAAGUGAUGAAAAUUUCCCAGACCAGAAUAGACACUGUGGACUACUAGAGCAGGGAGGGAGAGAGGAGGGCAUGGAUUAAAGAACUAUCUGUUAGGUACUAUGCUCACCACCUGGUGAUGGGAUCUGUACCCCAAACCUCAGCAUCACUCAAUAUACUCAUGUAACAAACCUGCACUUGUACCCCCUGAAUUUGUUCCUUGGUGUGGGAACAAAAGUUUCCCAGAUUAAGGAAAUUCAAGGAGCUAAAGUACAGAGAGAAAAAAUGGUAUAAUUUGGCUUAGAGUUAACUGCAACUUAAGUGAAUGAAAUGCCACAUAAAUGGGUAUUUUACAUAUUUUUCAUUAUGUUCUAUGACAAGAAUUUUGGGGAAAGUGAUGGAUUGUGCUAUCACAAGACUAAAAAGCAUCACUACAAGCCACGGACUCCUAUUUUGAUGUUUGUGACCUGUCUCAGUAAUAACAAGAGUCCUAAAACAGUUCAGGUUCAUUGUCUCUGUUAACAAGAGUGGUUGGUAAGAUUCAAAGGAACCAGUGGAAUGUGAAUUUUAUGACACCAUAAUUAUCUUCAUGGGAGAACCACCAAAGUGCAGAAAUGCAAAUAGAAGAGAAAUCUUUAAAAACCAAAGGGUAUGGCAAGAUAGAUUUCUGCUCCUAGAAGCAAAUUAUUUUAUUAUAAGGAAGAAAUAUAUUUAAGUAAUUGGCUCUCAGCAAGGAGUAAGUGGCUUUUGUUUCUAGCUAAUAAGAUUUCAUUUAAAAUCUAUUAAUUGGGAGAAGAGAAUAAACAAAGGAGCCCAUACCAAUAAUAAAUAUUCAGUUCUUCUGAGGGAUAUGACAAAAUUUUCCUUCAGUACUGUGGAACUCCUGGAGACCUUGCUCAUGGUAAUAAAGACAAGCCUAGAUACCAUAAUAUUAAAGUAAUGAACAGGAAAUAACACAUUAAACACUCCAAGACAAAAUAAGAAUAAGAAAUACAUAUAUAUUGAAAAAGUGAUAAAUGUAGGUAUCCUGAGAUUCUCAACUAUAAAAAGAACAGUAAUAGCAAUUUGAAUAAUACACAUAAAAUCCUUAAGAGUGUCUGCUACAUAACAAAGGCAUAACAAAUAAUGGCUAUUAUUACAGCCAGGAUGAAGAAUACUAAUAAGAGCUUUCAAACUGGACCAACCACUACUUCCGUGUUUCAAGUUCAUUUUUAGCACAUGAACAUGAUCACUGUUAGCCAGUGAAGUAGCUUCUGACUAGAUCAUUGAUUAGAUCUCACAAAAAACCAAAAAUAGUAUAUGGAAACCAAGAUGAGAGCAAAAGAAAACGUUACCUGAGUAGGCAGCUAAAACAUAUUUUGACAUUAUUUUUAAGCAGCAUUCAUAAGGUUCACGGAGCACAGAUAAUAAAAGAAAAAGCAAUGUAGAAGUCUUAAAAACCAAAGGAAAUUGCUAUGAAAGAAACCCUAAUGAAAGGUAAGAGAUUUCCAAAGGAAACAGAGGGCAGGUGCAGUAGCUCAUGCUUGUAAUCCCAGCACUUUGGGAGGCUGAGGUGGGAGGAUUGCUUGAGCCCAAGAGUUUGAGACCAGCCUGGACAACACAGACUCCAUCUCUAAAAAAAUAAAAUAAAAAAUUAGCUGAGUGUGGUGGCGCACACCUGUAGUCCCAGCUACUCUGGAGUCUGAGUUGGGAGGACUGUUUGAGCCCAGGAGGUUGAGGCUGCGGUGAGCCAUGAUGUUGCACAACUGCACUCCAGCCUGGGUGACAGCGUGAGGCCCUGUCUCCAAGAAAAA